rnacentral:rRNA from 1 species
GUGCCAGCAGCCGCGGUAAUACAGAGGUCCCAAGCGUUGUUCGGAUUCACUGGGCGUAAAGGGUGCGUAGGUGGCCGUGGAAGUUCGAUGUGAAAGCUCGGAGCUUAACUUCGAAAUGGCAUUGAAUACUCUACGGCUGGAGGGUCGGAGGGGAGACUGGAAUUCUCGGUGUAGCAGUGAAAUGCGUAGAUAUCGAGAGGAACACCAGUGGCGAAGGCGAGUCUCUGGACGACACCUGACACUGAGGCACGAAAGCUAGGGGAGCAAACAGGAUUAGAUACCCCGGUAGUCC